rnacentral:rRNA from 1 species
AAACUUUCAACAAUGGAUCUCUUGGUCUCGCAUCGAUGAAGAACGCAGCGAAAUGCGAUAAGUAAUAGAAUGCAGAA